rnacentral:misc_RNA from 1 species
UCCUUUGCAAAGAGAGACAUUUAGCCUGUUGACAAAAAUCUCACAGUGCACCAAAAUCCACACUGCAUCCAAUCUUUUCUCAAAGUUCAUCAUAGCAAUUGCAGCAUUAGAAGGAGGCUCUUGAUUCUUCUGUCGUGCAAUGACCAGAUAACUCGCAGGAAACUCCUUUGCCAAUAAUAGAUGCUUCAAUAUUGAGGAGUUUUAUACUCCCAUAGAUUGAGCAUGUGUUAUAAGAUGUAAUAGGUUCAUAUCGGUAUUUCUUGGAGUCUAAUACAGUGCAUGUAGUCAUCCCUGCAACCAACAAAUAUAUCCCCACCAAUCAUCACAGGGGAGGAAAAGACGUCUCCAACCAUGUGAUAUGGUGCGGGAAUUUGCUAGGUUUGAACUUGGAGGAGACGUCUUUU